AAGAUUAUGAACAACAAAUGAAGCCAAAGAGAGUGAAAAUGAUAUCUGAUCUACUGAUAUCUGUCUCAAAGGCAAAGAGACAGGAAGCUAGGAUAAAAGUUCGCCAGGAUUCUUUAAGACUUGGCAAUGUAGGCGUGAUAAGAGCUGGAACUGUUAUAUCUGA